GGGCUAUUAGCUCAGUUGGUUAGAGCGUACCCCUGAUAAGGGUAAGGUCGAUGGUUCAAAUCCAUUAUAGCCCA
rnacentral:tRNA from 1 species